CUAGAGGCUCUGGAGGCUGGAUUAACCCUCAGUAUAAACAUAGCAGUUUCUCUGAAACUGCUAUGUUUAUUAAAAAAAAAAAAGGGUUAAUCCUAGAGGUACCUGGCACCCAGACCACUUCAUAAAGCUGAAGUGGUCUGGGUGCCUAGAGUGGUCCUUUAAUUUAAGUCACAAAAUGGCAUUUUUAACCAAGCAGUAUGUCUUCAUUGAACCACAGGGUACAACAUAAAUGAUUGCUUACAUAGCUUCAGUCCUUGACCUCCUUACUUCCUGUAACAUGGAUGCUGGACAUUGAUAGGAAUGUGGUAUGUGAUGACCUCAAUGCUGUCCUUUUGAGUCAGUUUGCUAAACGUUUUUCUGACCAUUUUCCACGCUGGAAACAUUAGCCGCACAAUGCUACUUUAUUUGCAGGUUUACGUGUGAUGCAGUGUUUGCAUUUUGCCUUGAAAAUUCAAGUUUGUUAAACAACGUGAAAGUGAUUCUACUUGACUUUUUCAUCAGUGAAAAAAUGUUGUCAUAUGUAAUUGUAAAGAUAUUAACUACCUAUUCGUCAAAUUCAGUGAAUGGAGAUCCCUGUUAAACUAGUGCUUAAAUUUCAUGUUUACGUCCUCUGUUUUGUCAGAAAUCCUAGGAUGGUGUAGACAGUGCAGGAAUUUUAUCAAAGUAACGACCAUGCUGGGUUAAAAAGGAUAUUCCAUUCUGGAAUAAGAUCAUUACAGACCAUGAUGGCUUUUACCAUCAUUGCCUCUUAAAGGGGUACAAAACAUGCAGGACUGUUCCUAUUUAAUGUAAAGCUAAUACAAGAAAAUGUUAAAAGUUCCUAAAAAUUUUGCAUUUGCACAUAUGUAGAGAUGCUGCAUCUGACCUCGUUCUCAAGACAAAACUCUCCUCUCGCUGUAAGCUAAGGGUUCAUGUGGCUGAUUGACUACCAAGCGAACAACCCUACACAGAGAAAUAAAAAGGUAUUAAUCUUCAGAAUAGAACAAUUUUAAUGAUAAAGACUCAGAUAUCAUUGCACUAUAACCACUUCAGUAAGAUUAAGUGGUGAUGGUGCUUAGUUUCAGUUAAAAGCAGGACUGUCACACCCCUCCCC